rnacentral:rRNA from 1 species
AACGAACGCUGGCGGCGUGGAUAAGACAUGCAAGUCGAACGGAGAUCUUGAAUAGCUUGCUAAUUAAGAUCUUAGUGGCGGACGGGUUAGUAACACGUGAGAACCUACCCUUUAGACAGGAAUAGCCCAUGGAAACGUGGAUUAAUGCCUGAUAGUCUCUACGGAGUAAAUGGUGCCUUCGGGUAUCGCUAGAGGAUGGGCUCGCGGCCUAUCAGCUUGUUGGUGAGGUAAAGGCUCACCAAGGCGACGACGGGUAGCUGGUCUGAGAGGACGAUCAGCAACACUGGAACUGAGACACGGUCCAGACACCUACGGGUGGCAGCAGUCGAGAAUCAUUCACAAUGGAGGCAACUCUGAUGGUGCAACGCCGCGUGGAGGAUGACGGUCCUAGGAUUGUAAACUCCUGUCAUUGGGGAGUAAGACUUAAGCGUUAAGAGCGUUUAAGUUUGAUAGUACCCAAAGAGGAAGGGACGGCUAACUUCGUG